GGGGGAUUUCUCUCACGGCAUCAGGGAGGUGUCCAGGUGUUUCUGAACACAAUCCUCGAAUUCGGAAACUCCAGCCAAAGACGUUUUCCUUUAAAAUGCCCACCCGCUGCCAAGUUUAUGGAAUGUUGCAGGCUGAGAAGAUGCACUGUGGUGUGUGUACCCAUGGGGAGGUGUGUGUUUUUUCCUGCAUGCCACAGCCACAAGCAGAGGCAAUUCCAGCUCUGCAGCUCCGCUCUGCCCCAGCCAGGCUCC